rnacentral:rRNA from 1 species
GAUUAGAUACCCUGGUAGUCCACGCCGUAAACGAUGUCUACUUGGAGGUUGUGCCCUUGAGGCGUGGCUUCCGGAGCUAACGCGUUAAGUAGACCGCCUGGGGAGUACGGCCGCAAGGUUAAAACUCAAAUGAAUUGACGGGGGCCCGCACAAGCGGUGGAGCAUGUGGUUUAAUUCGAUGCAACGCGAAGAACCUUACCUGGUCUUGACAUCCAC